UGAGAACAGGCCCUACCUGUUCAACCUGAAGCUGAAAGAGUUCAGACUCCAUUUUAAGUGGACACAGCAGGAGGAAAACUGAAGGCUGAGGCAGGCCUAUAGGGAGACAGGCUGAGGAGUUUGUUGCCCAGCUGGAACACAGAGUGGAGACACUGUUGGCUGCACCAUCCAGUACAUGUAAAAUACAACACACCAGCUGAGCUGGAACAACAAGAACACCUGAACUGAAGUCCAGAAGAUGGAAGAGGACAGAGCAGAGUCUGCAGGAUCCAGCUGUCUGUCUAUGAAGAGUGAUGGGUCUAAAGUGGAACCUCUGAACUUCAGUACUGAACCUGGACCCUCAGACACAAAAGUUCAGUCCAACAGACAGAGAGCAGAGUCUGCAGGAUCCAGCUGUCUGUCUAUGAAGAGUGACCAGUCCAAAGAGGAACUUGUGAACUUCAGUCCUGAACCUGGACCCUCAGACACAAAGUAAGAAACUGUUUUUACUGUAAACUGACCUGAUGGAAGAUGAUGAUGAAGACAAAAUGUUGUGCUAAAAGAACUGUUAGUGCAGAUACUGUUUCAAACUAAGAUGGAACACCUGAACCUCCAUUUCAGAAUUUACACUUCAAGAAAAUGUUCCUAUAUUUUUGCCCUCACGUUGACGUCGCUGUAAAGACUUGAUUCAG